rnacentral:rRNA from 1 species
GAGUUUGAUCAUGGCUCAGGACGAACGCUGGCGGCGUGCCUAACACAUGCAAGUCGAACGGAGAACUCAAAAAAGCUUGCUUUGAGAGUUCUUAGUGGCGGACGGGUGAGUAACGCGUGGGCAACCUCCCCCUUAAACCGGGACAACCCUUGGAAACGAGGGCUAAUACCGGAUACACUUUUCUGAGGACAUCCUCGGGAAAGGAAAGGCGGCCUCUGAAGAUGCUGCCGAUAAGGGAUGGACCCGCGUCUGAUUAGCUGGUUGGUGGGGUAAAGGCCUACCAAGGCGACGAUCAGUAGCCGGCCUGAGAGGGUGAACGGCCACACUGGGACUGAGACACGGCCCAGACUCCUACGGGAGGCAGCAGUGGGGGAAUCUUCCGCAAUGGACGAAAGUCUGACGGAGCAACGCCGCGUGUAUGACGAAGGCC